rnacentral:lncRNA from 1 species
AUGCCACAGAGAGGUAUAGGGAGAAUGAAGACAGACAUUCUGGUCCUGCCCUGUGGACAAACUGCUUCAAGAGAACUUCAGUUAUGUUUCCUUACACCCAGUGGACAGGAGAGAGGCUGCAGGAGAAUGAAGAAAUUGGUGGGAGAAGAAGAAUCCUCAAAAGAUAUAGCAGCAAAAAAUCAUGACGUUUCAACUCCAGAAAGGCAUUCUGCUCAGAGAGAAGGAAAGAAAGGAAAAAAAGGAGUGAAGGAGAAGAAGAAGAGGAAGAAGAAGAGGAAGAGAGAAUGGGAAUGUUGCUUUAUUCUAAAAAUGGGUAUUGAAAACCUCUUUUAUGCUGAUAAUCGUGCUUAAUAAUGGCUGAUCAAUAUAUCAUUUAAACAGUAGGUGUGAUGUGGUACUGACAAGAAUGUAUGUUUUAUGUAUUUAAAGUGGAGAGGUCUAUAAAUGUCCAUUAAGUUUACUUGUUCCGGAUCCUGGAUAUCCUUAUUAAUUUUCUGCCUCAUUGAUCCAUCUAACAUUGAUGUUGAAGUCUCCCACUAUUAUUGUGUGGGAGUCUAGGGAGUCUAAGUCUCUUCAUAGGUCUUAUGUAUCUGGGUGUUAAAAUCGUUAGCUCUUCUUGUUGCAUUGAUCCUUUUACCACUAUAUCUUUGUUGCUUUAAAAUCUAUUUUAUCAGAGGCAAGAAUUGCAACUCCUGCUUUUUAUUUAUUUAUUUAUUUUUGCUCUCCAUUUGGUUGGUAAAUCUUUCUCCAUCCCUUUAUUUUGAGUCUUUGUGUAUCCUUGCAUGUGAAAUGGGUCUGGCUGUAUCUUUUGAUUGGGGGAUUUAGUCGAUUUAAAUUUAGGAUUACUGCCAUUUGAUGUUAGCUGGCUGUUUUGUCCAUUUGUUGAUGUAAAUUCUUCUUUAUGUUGAUGCCCUUUACUUUUUGGUAUAUUUUUAGAAAGGCUAAUACUGGUUGUUCCUUUCUAUGUGUAAUGCUUCUUUCAGAAGGUCUUGUAAAGCAGGCAUGGUGGUAAUAAAAUCUCUGAGUACUUGCUUGUUCAUAAAAGAUUUUAUUUUUCCUUCAAUUGUGAAGCUUAGUUUGGCAGGAUAUGAAAUUCUGGGCUGAAAGUUAUUUUCUUUAAGGAUAUGGAAUAUUGGCCCCCACUCUCUUCUGGCUUGUAGGGUUUCUGCUGAGAGAUCUGCUGUAAGUCUGAUAGGCUUCCCUUUGUGGGUGAUCCGACCUUUCUCUGUGGCAGCCCUUAGUAUUUUCUCCUUCCUUUUAACCCUGGUGAAUCUAACGAUUACAUGCCUUAGGGUUGUUCUUCUUGAGGAAUAUCUUUGUGGUGUUCUCUUUAUUACGUAGAGUUGAAUAUUGUCCUGCUUUGCUAGAUUGGGAAAGUUUUCCUGAAUAAUAUCCUGAAGAGUAUUUUCCAGCUUGGAUUCAUUCUCUUCAUCACAUUCAGGUACACCUAUUAAACGUAAAUUAGGUCUUUUCACAUAGUCCCAUAUUUCUUGGAGACUUUGCUCAUUCCUUUUUAUCGUUUUUUCUCUAUUGUUGUAUUCUCAUUUUAUUUCAUUAAGCUGGUCUUCAAGCUCUGAUAUUCUUUCUUCUGCUUGAUCAGUUUGGCUAUUAAAACUUGUGCAUAUUUUGCUAAGUUCUUGUGUUGUGUUUUUCAACUCCGUUAAUUCAUUUAUAUUCCUCUCUAUAUUGUCUAUCCUUGUUAGCAUUUCGUCAAACCUUUUUUUCAAAGUUCUUAGUUUCUUUACAUUGGGUUAGAACAAGUCCUUUUAACUCCCAGAAGUUUCUUAUCAUCCAC